GACGAACGCUGGCGGCGUGGAUUAGGCAUGCAAGUCGAACGGUAUCAUCCUUUCGGGGGUGAGAGAGUGGCGAACUGGUGAGUAACACGUAGGUUAAUCUACCCUCAAGACGGGGACAACCCAGGGAAACUUGGGCUAAUACCGGAUGUGAGCAACUUUUAGUUGUUUGAAAGGUGGCGUAAGCUGUCGCUUGGGGAUGAGCCUGCGUCCUAUUAGUUAGUUGGUGAGGUAACGGCUCACCUAGGCAAUGAUAGGUAGGCGGCCUUAACGGGUGGUCGCCCACACUGGGAUUGAGAUACGGCCCAGACUCCUACGGGAGGCAGCAGUCGAGAAUAGUCUACAAUGGCCGAAAGGCUGAUAGUGCGACGCCGCGUGAACGAAGAAGCCCUUCGGGGUGUAAAGUUCUUUUAUAUGUGAGCAGUGCUUUCUAUGUGAACAGCAUGGGGAAGAGAUAUUAGCAUAUGAAUAAGCAACGGCUAACUCCGUGCCAGCAGCCGCGGU
rnacentral:rRNA from 1 species